rnacentral:rRNA from 1 species
AUUGAACGCUGGCGGCAGGCCUAACACAUGCAAGUCGAGCGAGCGGCGGACGGUUGCGUAAUGUAUGGGGACUGCCCGAUAGAGGGGGAUAACUACUGGAAACGGUAGAUACUAACGCAUACCAUCGGCUCACCCAUAGGGUAUUAGCUAGUAGGUGAGGUAAUGGCUCACCUAGGGAACGAUCCCUAGCUGGGCUGAGAGGAUGAUCAGCCACACUGGGACUGAGACACGGCCCAGACUCCUACGGAGGCAGCAGUGGGUAAUAUUGCACAAUGGGCGCAAGCCUGAUGCAGCCAUGCCGCGUGUAUGAAGAAGGCCCUAGGGUUGUAAAGUACUUUCAGUCGGGAGGCGUUACCGACAGAAGAAGCACCGGCUAACUCCGUGCCAGCAGCCGCGGUAAUAC